rnacentral:lncRNA from 1 species
GAAGAACUUCUUGCCCAAACAGACGCGUGCUGGGGAAGUGGAGAAGACAGAGCUCUAAAUCAGGCAGUGAGUUUUCAGAGCAUCCUUCCUCAUAUCCUUAGGACCUAUCAGAGUGUCUGGCACAUAAUGGGAAGCAGUUUGAUGGAGUUUAUUGGAUGAAGCAGCUGCCAUCUGAGCAGUCACGCCACAUGAGUGACACUAAUGAGACAGAAAGGUCACAGGGGCUUCAGGAUGGACAGUGGAUCGGAUGGGCUGAACAUGAAGGCAAUGGACCAAUCAGAAACCUGUCGAAAUGACUCAGCUGUGGCUGGGACUCAGACGACUUGAACGAGUAACAUCAAGCCUCAAUUUCCCUGUCUAUAAAAUGGGUAUAGUCAGAAGUGCCCCCGAUUUACCUGUUUGUGAUGCUGCAUAGAUGACUAAACUAUGCCUAUAAAAUGC